rnacentral:rRNA from 1 species
UACGUAGGUGGCAAGCGUUGUCCGGAAUUAUUGGGCGUAAAGCGCGCGCAGGUGGUUUCUUAAGUCUGAUGUGAAAGCCCACGGCUCAACCGUGGAGGGUCAUUGGAAACUGGGGAACUUGAGUGCAGGAGAGAAAAGUGGAAUUCCACGUGUAGCGGUGAAAUGCGUAGAGAUGUGGAGGAACACCAGUGGCGAAGGCGACUCUUUGGCCUGUAACUAACACUGAGGCGCGAAAGCGUGGGGAGCAAACAGG